CUCCGCAACGCUACAAGUCGAUAAUGGAUGCCUAGGGCUGUUAAUGCCGAGGAAGGACGUAGUUGGUAGCGAUAUUCACUGGGGAGGAGCCAACAUCCCGCGAUCCAGUGGUUUCCGAAUGGAGCAAUCCGAUCUUUAUAGAUCAUUGUGUAGUAAAACCAGCCGCAAGGUUGAUAUAGCUACAUGAGGGGCACCACCUGAACUGAAACAUCUAAGUAGGGUGAGGAAAAGAAAACAAACGUGAUUCCGUCAGUAGCGGCGAGCGAAAGCGGAUCAGUCUAAACCCAGAUUUAUCUGGGGGUUGUGGGGCUCUCAAUAUGGGAGAAACAAGGAUAGUAGAACUGCUUGGAAUAGCAGACCAAAGAGAGUGAAAGUCUCGUAUAUUAAAUCCAAGUUUCCUCUAGAGAGUUCCCAAGUACCAUGUGACACGAAGGUCAUGUGGGAAGCUGGGGGAACCAUCCUCCAAGACUAAACACAUAACAGCACCGAUAGUGAACUAGUACCGUGAGGGAAAGGUUAAAAGUACCCCGGAAGGGGAGUGAAAUAGUACCUGAAAUUGUCGACUAACAAACAGCGAGAGUCCGUAAGGAUGAUCGCGUGCCUAUCGAAGAAUGAGCCGGUGAGUUAUUGCACAUUGCUAUUAUAGGUUAACCACAGGAAUGUGGGGAGCCGCAGCGAAAGCGAGUCCGAAUAGGGCGACCCAAGUAGUGUGCAUUAGACCCGAAACCGGGUGAGCUAACCAUGAGCAGGGUGAGUUUCGUAGAAAUACGAAAGGAGGCCCGAACUCGUCAGAGUUACAAAUCUGUGAGAUGACUUGUGGUUAGGGGUAAUAUGCCUAUCGAACCCGGAGAUAGCUGGUUCUCCCCGAAAUAUAUUUAGGUAUAGCGUCCGUUAAAGUGUUGCUGGGGUAGAGCACUCAAAGAAAUGUCAAGCGCAAGCGAGUUAUUUCUAUGAAACUCCGAAUACAGACAACAUUAACCGGGCAGUCAGACAUGUGGGGCUAAGCUCAUGUGUCUAAAGGGAAACAACCCAGAUUUUCGUCUAAGGUCUCUAAAUCUAUGCUCAGUGGUUAAGGAAGUCGUGGUUUUAAGACACCCAGGAAGUUGGCUUAGAAGCAGCCAUCUUUUAAAGAAAGCGUAACAGCUCACUGGAUGAAAACUAUGGCGCCGAAAAUGAUCGAGGCUUAAGCAUAGUACCGAAGACAGAAACUUUUAUAUAUAUUCGUAUAUGUAGAUUUGGUAGGGGAGUGUUCUAUUUGCGGUGAAGCAUAUGGCGGAAGCCAGUGUGGAGCGGAUAGAAGUAAGAAUGCCGGCAUGAGUAGCGUUAAAAGGUGAGAAUCCUUUUUGCCGAAUGCGCAAGGUUUCCGAAGCAACGUUCGUCGUCUUCGGGUAAGUCGGAUCUAAGGCGAGGCCAUCAUUGGUGGCGUAGCUCGAUGUAUAACUGGUUGAUAUUCCAGUACCGAUUGAACAGUGAUUAAGACUCAAAGGGGUGACGGAGGGGGACGUGUGUGCUGGUUGUAACACCACUAAGCUCUAACGCAGUAAGCCAUAGGUAAAUCCGGGUUUACGUUUACAUUAGGAGCGAUGGGGAGUCCAAGGCGCAAGCCGCGGGCAACGCACAUAGUUUCGCUUUCAAGAAAAGCCUCGUUGAGGACUGUUUGAUCGUCCGUACCACAAACCGACACAGGUGCGCUGGCGCAAGAAUGCCAAGGCAAGCGAGUGAUCGUGGUUCAAGGAACUCGGCAACAAAAGCUGGGCGUAACUUUUUGGAGAUGCCCUGCCCCGAUGUAAAGUUCGGGGCCUCAGUUAAUGAUGCUAUGCAACUGUUUAACUAAAACACAGGUCUCUGCGAAGCCGAAAGGCAACGUAUAGGGGCUGACGCCUGCCCAGUGCCGGUAAGUUAAAAAAGGUUGGUGAUUCUCGCAAGAGAGGAGCUAGCUUUUUAAGCUCCGGUGAACGGCAGCAGUAACUAUAACUGUUCUAUGGUAGCGAAAUUCCUUGUCGGGCAAGUUCCGACCCGCACGAAAGGCAGAAUGACAUAGCAACUGUCUUGAACCACUACUCGGCGAAAUUGAAAUGGCUGUGAAGAUGCGGCCUACCCACACUUGGACAAAAAGACCCCGUGAAGCUUUACUGUAAUUUGGCACUGAAGACAUUAUUUUGACUGUCGAGUAUAGGAGGGAGCCUUCGGGCGACAAUGGAAUACCUCUCUUCGAAAUGAUGAAAUCUUACUUAUUCCGACAUAAAAAUCUCGGAACAGGACACUGUCAGAUGGGCAGUUUAACUGGGGAGGUUGCCUCCAAAAUUGUAACGGAGGCGUACAAAGGUUGGCUAAUCCUGAAUGGAAACCAGGACUUGUCGUGCAAACGCGUUAAGCCAGCUUGACUGCGAGACCUACAAGUCGAGCAGAUGCGAAAGCAGGUGUUAGUGAUCCUCGGCUCCCUCGUGGGAGGGACCGGGCCUAACGAAUAAAAGCUACUCCGGGGAUAACAGGCUGAUCGCUUCCGAGAGUCCAUAUCGACGAGGCGGUUUGGCACCUCGAUGUCGGCUCAUCCUAUCCUGGGGCUGGAGAAGGUCCCAAGGGUCCGG
rnacentral:rRNA from 1 species